AAACUAAUUUGCGUUAUUAUCACGUUAACGUUGACAGCCCUAUUAAUUAUAUAUUAGUAUAUAAUUAUAUUUGUAUAACUAUGAUAAUAUAUUUAUGAUUAAAUCAUUGAAUUUUUCAUUAUUUUCUAGUGCAACAGAAAUGUGCAAAAACUCACUUGGUGUGCGAAUGUGUGUGUGUGAGUGAGUUUGGGAUGAAUAAAGGCGGCUUUAGACUGCGAUUCUCUGAAAGCAUCUCGUAUUGAAAGGAUACUUGUAAAUGUAAUGGAACAAGUCUAUAAGGACUUGACUGGGCACAGAAAUCAAACUCCCCUGACGUGUUUCAUGACUUGUUGUGACUCGUAGUGUUGUGCUGAAACUCUGUAACUGUAGCUUUAAGGAUGAAAUUCAUGCUCUUUCAUAUUUCUGACUUUGACAAUCAUUUAUUCUACAUGUACUGAACGCAUAUUAGAUUUGCAAUAAAGAAAAAAUAAUUAGGUUAAGAUCUUGAGUCAACAAGAACAAAUCUAUUCUUAUCAAAUUUGUCCGAUCUUUGCUUGGAGCAGAUGCAGCGUAAAACCUUCCUACAGUCUUAAAGGAAAACUAGAGAAUAAAUCACAGUCUAACUCCGCCUUUAAUAUUUGUUGUGUACGACUUUUAUUUUCAAUUACUGAUACGUUUUACUUACCUCUGUUAUAAUUUUGUUCCAUAAUUGAUGUACCUGUUGAAUGUACUUUUUUAUAAGCAGCAUAAUCUAAAUCUUGAGAUGCAAAAAUUCCAAGAAGUGAUUUUAAAACUCUGAUGUAGUUUGAUUCUAUUUUUUUUUCCAGUUUAAAAAGGCUUUACUUGAAUUGUGUUUUUGUUCGAGUGGUAUUCAUAUAUUAUUAUUAUCCUUUUGUGGCAGAAAUGAAUCUCUUGCCACAUUAUCGUAUCAAACACUUUGUACAUUUAUUGUUUGAUUUGUGUGUUGAUGAAUGAGUGGAAGAUGUCGGGUUGUGAUACCUUUGUUUUUCCUGUAUUGAAUGACGCUAGGACAAGUCUUCCUAAGUCUGUAUCAUAUUGGAGCAUGGAUCUGUUGCUUACGGUCAUCACCGUCUCCUGUACUUUCACGGAGGGACUCAUGCUUUUGAUUUUAUUUUUGGUGGGAAGAUCUGGAGGGGAAGUCCCGCCCCUUCCGGUGGCCCACCACGGAACCUUAUCUCGGAAAAAAUAUGAACGGUAGUCAACGACAAGACACAAAUCAUUUAUUUGAUCCUGUUUGAAUUGCGCCAUGAAUCACACACAUGAUGUUUGUCAAUAUAAAAGAUAAUUUUGCAAGUCAAGAAAGUCUCAGUUUUAUGUGUGAUUCAUGGCGCAACUCAAACAGGAUCAAAACAUUACUUGUCUCUUGCCGUUGACUUACCGUUCAUAUUUGUUCUGAAGUAAGGUCCCAUGGUGGUCCACCAGAAGGGGGCUGGACUUCGCCUCUCUAUCGGAUGGUUGGUUACUUGGGGUGGUGUUUGGCAGGCUGUACGUGAGCGAAGGGAAGUUGUGAACGAAGCAUGCCAUAUUAUUGCCAAACCAUCACAAGUAAUGUUGGCGACCUGCGUCUACCGGCUUCUUAUACCCUCCUUGUGUUUCAUUUUUGGUUAGAAUUGCAUCUCUAUAAUUGCAAAAAUGCCUUAACAUUGUACAGUUUCUUUGUUUCACAUAUCACAUAUUGUAAAACGCACCAGCUUUACAGGAAUAAAUCCAAACACAGUGCUCAUUUCUAUCACUUCUGGGCUACAAGAGGCUCCCAUCACCACGCUUGUACAUUUAGACGAAUGGGUUUUUAAGAAGGAGCAGAUGCUGUAGUUUUUAAACUACUCCACUAUAUCACUAAGGACUGGAGUAAAAACAUAUUCUCCUCAGUUGCAUCAUCUCUCAGUGUCCUCGGCUUGACAUUAAGUCUCUCACCUCAUUAUCCUUUCUGUCAUGUUAGCAGCGCUUACAGGCGAGUAUUAAGCCAACUGUGUGCCUUCUGCACUAUGGAGCUGCAUCCUCCUCCCUGUACAUACAGUAGAUAGGACCGUAGGUUUAAUGUGGCUAGAGCGUCAUUCAGACCCUUUUUCCUCUCCAGUGGAACUGCUGUAAAUGAAUCCAAGUUUAAAUAAACUGUCUCUAAAGUUCAACAUCA